rnacentral:rRNA from 1 species
AAUGAACGCUGGCGGCAGGCCUAAAACAUGCAAGUCGAACGCUCUAGCAAUAGAGAGUGGCGCACGGGUGAGUAACACGUGGGAAUAUGCCUUUUGGUACGGAACAACCUCGGGAAACUGAGGCUAAUGCCGUAUGGUCCCUUCGGGGUAAAGAUUUAUCGCCAAAAGAGUAGCCCGCGCUGGACUAGCUAGUUGGUAAGGUAAUGGCUUACCAAGGCGACGAUCCAUAGCUGGCUUAGAGGACGAUCAGCCACACUGGGACUGAGACACGGCCCAGACUCCUACGGGAGGCAGCAGUUAGGAAUAUUGGACAAUGGGCGCAAGCCUGAUCCAGCCAUGCCGCGUGAGUGAUGAAGGCCUUCGGUUGUAAG